UGGCUAACUCCUACGGGAGGCAGCAGUGAGGAAUAUUGGUCAAUGGACGCAAGUCUGAACCAGCCAAGUAGCGUGCAGGAUGACGGCCCUAUGGGUUGUAAACUGCUUUUAUGUGGGAAUAAAGUGGCGCACGUGUGCGCCGUUGCGUGUACCUCAUGAAUAAGGACCGGCUAAUUCCGUGCCAGCAGCCGCGGUAAUACGGAAGGUCCGGGCGUUAUCCGGAUUUAUUGGGUUUAAAGGGGGUGUAGGCGGUCUGUUAAGCGUGUUGAGAAAUUUAGGUGCUCAACAUUUAACUUGCAGCGCGAACUGUCAGACUUGAGUACACGCAGCGCAGGCGGAAUUCAUGGUGUAGCGGUGAAAUGCUUAGAUAUCAUGAGGAACUCCGAUCGCGAAGGCAGCCUGCGGGAGUGUUACUGACGCUUAAGCUCGAAGGUGCGGGUAUCGAACAGGAUUAGAUACCCGUGUAGUCCAGCUGG
rnacentral:rRNA from 1 species